rnacentral:rRNA from 1 species
GACAGAGGCCUCAAGCGUUAGGCGGAAUCACUGGGCGUAAAGCGCACGUAGGCGGAUUGCUAAGUCAGGGGUGAAAUCCUGGAGCUCAACACCAGAACUGCCUUUGAUACUGGCGAUCUUGAGUCCGGGAGAGGUGAGUGGAACUCCGAGUGUAGAGGUGAAAUUCGUAGAUAUUCGGAAGAACACCAGUGGCGAAGGCGGCUCACUGGCCCGGUACUGACGCUGAUGUGCGAAAGCGUGGGGAGCAAACAGG